CUUGGGACGCAGAGCCUUGUUCAGUUUUCUUCUAGGACUAGGAAGAGAGAGAGCUCAGAGGAUGCCUAGAGCAGAGAAAACGUCUACCGGAACUCUUAAU